AUCUAGGGUUUAAUUAGAUGAAAGUAAGAUGAACGUUAGCUAAAAUGGAUGUAACGUCUACCUAUAAAUAAAGUGUGUUGGAAGUGAGAGGUAUCUCAUUCCACACUUCUCUUGUGUCUAACCUUAUUAUUUUCUACUUACUUGUGUCUUGCUUAUUGUGUUUCUUCAAUAGGUUAUGGGCCCACAUACACUUUGUUGUGUUAUUUAAGUAAGAUGAAGACAUUUGCUGGUUGUUAUUUUUGUGUGGAAUAGAUCUUAUGGUGUUUGCUGAUGUUAGAGAUGGUAUGAUAUAAUCUUGUGUUUUGACUUGUAGAGGUUUUG
rnacentral:lncRNA from 1 species